rnacentral:rRNA from 1 species
ACAACGAAGAGUUUGAUCCUGGCUCAGGAUGAACGCUAGCGACAGGCUUAACACAUGCAAGUCGAGGGGCAGCAGGGAGUAGCAAUACUCCGCUGGCGACCGGCGCACGGGUGAGUAACGCGUAUGCAACCUACCUAUCAGAGGGGAAUAACCCGGCGAAAGUCGGACUAAUACCGCAUAAAACAGGGGUCCCGCCUGGGAAUAUUUGUUAAAGAUUUAUCGCUGAUAGAUGGGCAUGCGUUCCAUUAGAUAGUUGGUGAGGUAACGGCUCACCAAGUCUACGAUGGAUAGGGGUUCUGAGAGGAAGGUCCCCCACACUGGUACUGAGACACGGACCAGACUCCUACGGGAGGCAGCAGUGAGGAAUAUUGGUCAAUGGGCGAGAGCCUGAACCAGCCAAGUCGCGUGAAGGAUGAAGGAUCUAUGGUUCGUAAACUUCUUUUAUAGGGGAAUAAAGUGCAGGACGUGUCCUGUUUUGUAUGUACCCUAUGAAUAAGGAUCGGCUAACUCCGUGCCAGCAGCCGCGGUAAUACGGAGGAUCCGAGCGUUAUCCGGAUUUAUUGGGUU